rnacentral:rRNA from 1 species
GGUUAAGCGACUAAGCGUACACGGUGGAUGCCCUGGCAGUCAGAGGCGAUGAAGGACGUGCUAAUCUGCGAUAAGCGUCGGUAAGGUGAUAUGAACCGUUAUAACCGGCGAUUUCCGAAUGGGGAAACCCAGUGUGAUUCGUCACACUAUCAUUAACUGAAUCCAUAGGUUAAUGAGGCGAACCGGGGGAACUGAAACAUCUAAGUACCCCGAGGAAAAGAAAUCAACCGAGAUUCCCCCAGUAGCGGCGAGCGAACGGGGAGGAGCCCAGAGCCUGAAUCAGUGUGUGUGUUAGUGGAAGCGUCUGGAAAGGCGCGCGAUACAGGGUGACAGCCCCGUACACAAAAAUGCACAUACUGUGAGCUCGAUGAGUAGGGCGGGACACGUGGUAUCCUGUCUGAAUAUGGGGGGACCAUCCUCCAAGGCUAAAUACUCCUGACUGACCGAUAGUGAACCAGUACCGUGAGGGAAAGGCGAAAAGAACCCCGGCGAGGGGAGUGAAAAAGAACCUGAAACCGUGUACGUACAAGCAGUGGGAGCCUCUUUAUGGGGUGACUGCGUACCUUUUGUAUAAUGGGUCAGCGACUUAUAUUCUGUAGCAAGGUUAACCGAAUAGGGGAGCCGAAGGGAAACCGAGUCUUAACUGGGCGUUAAGUUGCAGGGUAUAGACCCGAAACCCGGUGAUCUAGCCAUGGGCAGGUUGAAGGUUGGGUAACACUAACUGGAGGACCGAACCGACUAAUGUUGAAAAAUUAGCGGAUGACUUGUGGCUGGGGGUGAAAGGCCAAUCAAACCGGGAGAUAGCUGGUUCUCCCCGAAAGCUAUUUAGGUAGCGCCUCGUGAAUUCAUCUCCGGGGGUAGAGCACUGUUUCGGCAAGGGGGUCAUCCCGACUUACCAACCCGAUGCAAACUGCGAAUACCGGAGAAUGUUAUCACGGGAGACACACGGCGGGUGCUAACGUCCGUCGUGAAGAGGGAAACAACCCAGACCGCCAGCUAAGGUCCCAAAGUCAUGGUUAAGUGGGAAACGAUGUGGGAAGGCCCAGACAGCCAGGAUGUUGGCUUAGAAGCAGCCAUCAUUUAAAGAAAGCGUAAUAGCUCACUGGUCGAGUCGGCCUGCGCGGAAGAUGUAACGGGGCUAAACCAUGCACCGAAGCUGCGGCAGCGACACUAUGUGUUGUUGGGUAGGGGAGCGUUCUGUAAGCCUGCGAAGGUGUACUGUGAGGUAUGCUGGAGGUAUCAGAAGUGCGAAUGCUGACAUAAGUAACGAUAAAGCGGGUGAAAAGCCCGCUCGCCGGAAGACCAAGGGUUCCUGUCCAACGUUAAUCGGGGCAGGGUGAGUCGACCCCUAAGGCGAGGCCGAAAGGCGUAGUCGAUGGGAAACAGGUUAAUAUUCCUGUACUUGGUGUUACUGCGAAGGGGGGACGGAGAAGGCUAUGUUGGCCGGGCGACGGUUGUCCCGGUUUAAGCGUGUAGGCUGGUUUUCCAGGCAAAUCCGGAAAAUCAAGGCUGAGGCGUGAUGACGAGGCACUACGGUGCUGAAGCAACAAAUGCCCUGCUUCCAGGAAAAGCCUCUAAGCAUCAGGUAACAUCAAAUCGUACCCCAAACCGACACAGGUGGUCAGGUAGAGAAUACCAAGGCGCUUGAGAGAACUCGGGUGAAGGAACUAGGCAAAAUGGUGCCGUAACUUCGGGAGAAGGCACGCUGAUACGUAGGUGAAGUCCCUUGCGGAUGGAGCUGAAAUCAGUCGAAGAUACCAGCUGGCUGCAACUGUUUAUUAAAAACACAGCACUGUGCAAACACGAAAGUGGACGUAUACGGUGUGACGCCUGCCCGGUGCCGGAAGGUUAAUUGAUGGGGUUAGCGGUAACGCGAAGCUCUUGAUCGAAGCCCCGGUAAACGGCGGCCGUAACUAUAACGGUCCUAAGGUAGCGAAAUUCCUUGUCGGGUAAGUUCCGACCUGCACGAAUGGCGUAAUGAUGGCCAGGCUGUCUCCACCCGAGACUCAGUGAAAUUGAACUCGCUGUGAAGAUGCAGUGUACCCGCGGCAAGACGGAAAGACCCCGUGAACCUUUACUAUAGCUUGACACUGAACAUUGAGCCUUGAUGUGUAGGAUAGGUGGGAGGCUUUGAAGUGUGGACGCCAGUCUGCAUGGAGCCGACCUUGAAAUACCACCCUUUAAUGUUUGAUGUUCUAACGUUGGCCCCUGAUCGGGGUUGCGGACAGUGUCUGGUGGGUAGUUUGACUGGGGCGGUCUCCUCCUAAAGAGUAACGGAGGAGCACGAAGGUUGGCUAAUCCUGGUCGGACAUCAGGAGGUUAGUGCAAUGGCAUAAGCCAGCUUGACUGCGAGCGUGACGGCGCGAGCAGGUGCGAAAGCAGGUCAUAGUGAUCCGGUGGUUCUGAAUGGAAGGGCCAUCGCUCAACGGAUAAAAGGUACUCCGGGGAUAACAGGCUGAUACCGCCCAAGAGUUCAUAUCGACGGCGGUGUUUGGCACCUCGAUGUCGGCUCAUCACAUCCUGGGGCUGAAGUAGGUCCCAAGGGUAUGGCUGUUCGCCAUUUAAAGUGGUACGCGAGCUGGGUUUAGAACGUCGUGAGACAGUUCGGUCCCUAUCUGCCGUGGGCGCUGGAGAACUGAGGGGGGCUGCUCCUAGUACGAGAGGACCGGAGUGGACGCAUCACUGGUGUUCGGGUUGUCAUGCCAAUGGCACUGCCCGGUAGCUAAAUGCGGAAGAGAUAAGUGCUGAAAGCAUCUAAGCACGAAACUUGCCCCGAGAUGAGUUCUCCCUGACUCCUUGAGAGUCCUGAAGGAACGUUGAAGACGACGACGUUGAUAGGCCGGGUGUGUAAGCGCAGCGAUGCGUUGAGCUAACCGGUACUAAUGAACCGUGAGGCUUAACCUU